CCUGCCCAAGAGAUCGGGAUAACACCUGGAAACAGAUGCUAAUACCGGAUAAUAACAGAUGAUGCCUAUCAACUGUUUAAAAGAUGGUUCUGCUAUCACUCUUGGAUGGACCUGCGGUGCAUUAGCUAGUUGGUAGGGUAACGGCCUACCAAGGCGAUGAUGCAUAGCCGAGUUGAGAGACUGAUCGGCCACAUUGGGACUGAGACACGGCCCAAACUCCUACGGGAGGCAGCAGCG
rnacentral:rRNA from 1 species